rnacentral:tmRNA from 1 species
GGGGGUGCACUGGCUUCGACGGUGUCAAUACUGCUUUGAAUGGCGCAUCGUGUUUCCCGGAAGCACGUUAAAAAGUCGGGAAAACAAUUAACUGGCGAAUCUAAUUACGCCCUCGCUGCUUAAUUAAUAGUUAAGUAGCCGUCUGCCGGAUGUUUGCCCAUCGGUAACCGGACAGGCGUCGUUUAGAUGGGAUUGCCGAGCCCCGUACUCUUGAAGGCGAAGUGAAAACUUAAAGGGAAAGCCUGCUGACCCCUAGUCAGUUUGGUAAUAGCAGGUUUAACAAAAACUGACUACAUGCGUAGAGGUUCAUCGUGGAUUUUCAUCGGACGCGGGUUCGACUCCCGCCACCUCCACAA